ACCAAGCGCCAUCUUGCUUUUUAUUGUGUUGGGCUAUCGUUAUCACGUCUUGAUAUCUCUCGGUAUUAUUUGCUGUCUGGUGCCGGCGGCACCGAACUGAGGAAGCCACCAUAUCUACUUUACGAUACCUAACCUGUGGGUGGUACGCACGAUAAACUCACGUCUUAUAGACUAAGCUGGAAACGUUAGAAGCGCACCGGCAUGGUAACAUGAAGUCAAAUAAAGAGAACUAGAAUAAAAGACAGAGAAAGGGUCCAAGAAACGUGCUCUGGCAUAGGUAAUCUAUAUACACAUAUAAUAUAUAUGCAUAUACCUAGUAUAUGCUAAGUUUCCAUACUGUAUGUAUAUACCUUGCAGAAUCAACCUCUUACACCUUCAUGUUUUUAUGGCAUUUAGUGUCCAUGGUGCACGUAAUGUGUAUCGUUCCAUACGUGUUCCGUGUACGUGCAUAAUAAUGUCCAAGAAUACAGACUCGAUAUUGUCGGUUGCAGGGUUCUAAUCAACCAGGAGGUCAUCGACCUUAUAUUGUACGAUGGUACUAUAUAUCCGUAGAAAAUGUUAUGGCUGGAGGUUGAACGACGAAUAUAACAAUAAUCCAAGUAUACCUAAAGAGUAUAUAUUGAUUAUUGAUACGAUAUUAAUUAAUUAUGUCACGGUAGCGGGAUCUCUUUCUUUUCACAUAUUUUUAAAGCCGUUGUAUUAAGCGGCGUCCACAAAGAGAGCAACUCCAUGACAGUGUCAAUCAUUACCAUACUGUCGAUGGAUAGCUCUCUUCGUAGCGCUCGCCUUUUUUCAAACUUUGCUGAUUCUUUGCUGAAAUUCGUUGCCUCUAUGUUAAAAAAAAAGAGUUAAAAUACCUUAAAAAAAAGAAACCAGACUGCACCUUUUGUGCAUCUGACAUAGCAGUCUGAUAUGCACUGAAAAAUAUAUGAUUUUUCUUAAAUUAUGAAAGGAAACCAGCAGCUCGCUGGUCUUACUCGUUAUCGGGAUGGUGCGAGCUGUCUUCUCUGUUUAGCAGCCACCUGAUUGCGCGGCAAACAUAACCUAACUUACAAGGAACACGUGUUAGCUCGUGCCCAAGAUCAUUAGCACGUACCGGAGCACGUUGGCUUUCCGUAACCGGGUAAAAAGCAGUACAUUGAGAAAAGGUGCAAUUUUUCAUUUCCAAUGGAUAUACCAAGCAGCAUCUCGUUUAGAGCUUUACGUAAGAUCGAAAAAGGUCGUUACAUUCGUUCAAUUACGUUCUAUUAUCAGACCGCUUCUAAUAUCUGUACAAACUGAAGAGACUAUAUGACUUUUCUACCGGCAGACUAGGUUUGUUUAUUCAGUUGAUAUUUUCACCUGUUA